CGGCGAGUGAAGCGGCAACAGCUCAAAUUUGAAAUCUGGCCCUCGGGUCCGAGUUGUAAUUUGUAGAGGAUGCUUUUGGUGCGGUACCUUCCGAGUUCCCUGGAACGGGACGCCAUAGAGGGUGAGAGCCCCGUCUGGUUGGAUGCCAAUCCUCUGUAAAGCUCCUUCGACGAGUCGAGUAGUUUGGGAAUGCUGCUCUAAAUGGGAGGUAUAUGUCUUCUAAAGCUAAAUAUUGGCCAGAGACCGAUAGCGCACAAGUAGAGUGAUCGAAAGAUGAAAAGCACUUUGAAAAGAGAGUUAAAAAGCACGUGAAAUUGUUGAAAGGGAAGCGCUUAUGACCAGACUUGGGCUUGGUUGAUCAUCCGGCGUUCUCGCCGGUGCACUCUUCCGGCUCAGGCCAGCAUCAGUUUGCUUCGGGGGAUAAAGGCUUUGGGAAUGUGGCUCCCUCGGGAGUGUUAUAGCCCACUGUGUAAUACCCUGGAGCGGACUGAGGUACGCGUUCUGCAAGGAUGCUGGCGUAAUGGUCAUCAGUGACCCGUCUUGAAACACGGACCAAGGAGUCGUCUUCGUAUGCGAGUGUUCGGGUGUCAAACCCCUACGCGUAAUGAAAGUGAACGCAGGUGAGAGCUUCGGCGCAUCAUCGACCGAUCCUGAUGUUCUCGGAUGGAUUUGAGUAAGAGCAUACGGGGCCGGACCCGAAAGAAGGUGAACUAUGCCUGUGUAGGGUGAAGCCAGAGGAAACUCUGGUGGAGGCUCGCAGCGGUUCUGACGUGCAAAUCGAUCGUCAAACAUGGGCAUGGGGGCGAAAGACUAAUCGAACCUUCUAGUA
rnacentral:rRNA from 1 species